UACAGAGGGGGCAAGCGUUGUUCGGAAUUACUGGGCGUAAAGGGCGCGUAGGCGGCCUGCUAAGUCGAACGUGAAAUCCCCGGGCUCAACCCGGGAACUGCGUCCGAUACUGGGAGGCUUGAAUUCGGGAGAGGGAUGCGGAAUUCCAGGUGUAGCGGUGAAAUGCGUAGAUAUCGAGAGGAACACCUGCGGCGAAGGCGGGUUGCUGGGCCGACACUGACGCUGAUGCGCGAAAGCCAGGGGAGCGAACGGG
rnacentral:rRNA from 1 species